UUGACAGCAGGAAAGGGUUAAUUUCCUCAUUUAUUAUGGAAUGCUCGAGGAAUCAUUCAUAUCCAUAGGUUGAUGGGGCGAACUAAUUAAAUAUGUUCAGACCAUCCGAGUAUUUUCAGCUUUAAGCACAUGGACCUUGAAGGUUUAAUCGGACUGAGAUAAGAUGACUGCAUUCAAAGGUGACCAUGAUUAAUGAUACCAAGACUCUAGCUUGAAGAAUGACUUGCCAGUAGGGGCGAGCAAUAUUCGAUUCAAGCUGAAAUAACGGAUCGAACAAUUAAAUUUGGUUCGAUUCUAUUUCCUUUUCAGUUCCUUUUCUUUUAUGAAAUUUUGGUGAAAUUGAUUCAGCUCUGUUUUGGAAGAAAAAUAGCCAACACCAAACCAUACCAAAUCGAGCCGAACAAUUAAGAUGUUUUUUUUCUAAAUUUAGAGUUUGUUACUUUUUUUUUUGUUUAUAUAUUUUAAUUUAAUAAUUAUUCUUAUUAGGAAAAAGACAAAAGUGGGAAUACCUUGAUUGAAUUUUAGAAUAUACUAAAAACAAAACCUAAAAGAAAAACCUUUUAAAAGAAAACUCAUUAAAAAAGCCAACUGAUUGAAUUGAACAGGACAGUUUGAUUCAGUUUGGUUCUCUCCUGAUUGAGUUCGGUUCGAUUUCAGCAAAUUGCUUGUAUUCGGUUUUAACUUAUUCGGUUCGGUUUUGAACUAGUUCGACUAAAUGCUAACCAUGACUCCUCUUAAUUGCUUUGAAAUUUACUUUUUUUUUUAAUUUGUUUUACUUAGAAUGAAAUAAUUUUUGUUAAAAAAAAGGCAUUUUCACCUUUCCUCCCUCUACAAUGAAUGAAAAACUACUCACUACUUGUGAAGUUAAGCUUCUGGCACUAAAAUACUCUAGGACUCUGCCGCGCCUGCAUAUCUUCAUGUGAGCUUGUUCAAGGCCAAUUCAGUUGUUCCCAGUCCCAUAGUGGUUGUACUAAAUCUUCAACCAUCUCCCAGUUAGCACUUCCUUCUGCUCCUGAGGGAUAAGCAUGAUCUCCUCCGGAGUAUGAAGUCUCCGAUGAGCUUGUGUUGUCCACAAUUCUAGUGUCUUGAGCAGAUGUAGCUGUAUUACGGACAAGCCGAUUGUCUAUUGCUGCAGCUUCUAACGGACGCCUGUCAAAUGCUCGAAAACUUCCUGAUAUUACGUAGACUCGGCACAAACUGAAUUCAUGUCUCAACUACACAUAAGAUAUGGACAAAGAAAUGAUUAUUAGAAUUGGAAAUCAAUAGAAAACUGCAUAAUUAGGUCCUUGUUUGUUGAAAAUUUCUCAAGUAUUAUAUAUCUUUGUACACACCAUGGGAACAGCGGUGUUGUACGAGUCGGCUACUUCUUCUAUGGCUCUGUACUCAUUCAUCUUCCAUUUGGUUUUUCUUCCAGCAGGAGCUUUCCCCUUGUAGAAAACCAUGGUUUUCUUCACUCCGAUCACUCGGUUAUCUGAUGAGUAAACAUAACCAGGGGAGCCUGUAGCCUUCCAGUACCCAGUUUCCGUAGUGCGGUUGGGUCUCCCCCCUCUUGCCUCUCUUUCUUGUCUUGGUGUGAAGAAGAACCACUGCUCAGUAUCUCCUCGACACCUUUCUCCUGCAAGCUCUGCAACACAAUGCAAGAAACAAACUUUAAAUAAUACCAUUCUUUGACAUGCAGCAUUUUCAACACACUAUUAACUUCAUAAACAGAAAAAUGAACACCUUUGAUUGAGAAGGAUUCUUACUUGGAAGAUUCCAUGGCUCUUGGUUAUAAAUGUUGAUUACUGGGAUAACACGGUCUAGUUCCUGUCUCUUCCCUUCCAGCUUGUUAUGCAGAUAAAAGGAAACUAGCUCUUCUUCUGUUGGAUAGAAGCGAAGGCCAGGUGGAAGUACCUCCAUUCUUGAUUUUAUUGCUGUUGCUAUUGAGUUCUUGAAUUGUUUAAAUUGCUGCUAUUGAAUUCUGUAAUUGUUCAAGUAUGUCUGCCAUGAACUGUAUAUAUAGAGAGAGAGGCAUGUGAAGGCAAAGGAAGGUAGAUGAGCUUGCCGAGUGCAACGAGAAAAAAUUGCAAGGAGCUUGUGAUUGAUGGAAACCUCCACGCGGUUGCACAAAGAAGAGAAUGGUUUUUGUCCUCUUAUGUUUCUCCAUUGGUCCAAGUAAGAUUCCUCAUCCAAUAUAAAGCUGAUUUUGAACGAGUCAGCCGCCCUUUGCUUCUGUGUAGUGCUUGUCCAAGACUUAGUAGUUGCACCCUCCUAGAUUACAUUACGUCGACCAUUGAUUGGUUUAUGUGUCCUGAGUCACGUCCUUAACUUUUAGAUGUUUAUUAAUUUCAGUUUUCCAUGGAUCUAGGAGACAUUAAAAUAAUUCUUAUAUAUUUUUUAUUUUUUUAUGAAA